rnacentral:rRNA from 1 species
UACAGAGGUGCCAAGCGUUGUUCGGAUUUAUUGGGCGUAAAGGGUGCGUAGGCGGUGAUGCAAGUCGGAUGUGAAAUACCGGAGCCUAACUCCGGAACGGCAUUCGAAACUGCAUCGCUAGAGAACUGGAGAGGUAACUGGAAUUUACGGUGUAGCAGUGAAAUGCGUAGAUAUCGUAAGGAACACCAGAGGCGAAAGCGAGUUACUGGACAGAUUCUGACGCUGAAGGCACGAAAGCUAGGGGAGCAAACGGG